UACGUAGGGGGCGAGCGUUGUCCGGAUUUAUUGGGCGUAAAGGCUUGUAGGUGGCCACGCCAAGUCGGAUGUGAAAUCUCCCGGCUCAACUGGGAGGGGUCAUUCGAUACUGGCGGGCUCGAGGCCGGUAGGGGGAAGCGGAAUUCCCGGUGUAGUGGUGGAAUGCGUAGAUAUCGGGAGGAACACCAGUGGCGAAGGCGGCUUCCUGGACCGGUUCUGACACUGAGGAGCGAAAGCGUGGGGAGCGGAUCCGGAUUAGAAAACCCUG
rnacentral:rRNA from 1 species